rnacentral:rRNA from 1 species
GAUGAACGCUAGCGAUAGGCCUAACACAUGCAAGUCGAGGGGCGGCAUAAAGGUAGCAAUACUUUGGUGGCGACCGGCGCACGGGUGAGUAACGCGUAUGCAACCUACCUACUACAAGGGGAUAACCCGGAGAAAUUCGGACUAAUACUCUAUAAUACAGGGGUCCCGCAUGGAAUAUUUGUUAAAGAUUUAUUGGUAGUAGAUGGGCAUGCGUUCCAUUAGGUAGUUGGUGAGGUAACGGCUCACCAAGCCAUCGAUGGAUAGGGGAACUGAGAGGUUUAUCCCCCACACUGGAACUGAGACACGGUCCAGACUCCUACGGGAGGCAGCAGUGAGGAAUAUUGGUCAAUGGAGGCAACUCUGAACCAGCCAAGUCGCGUGAAGGACGACGGCCCUACGGGUUGUAAACUUCUUUUGUAAGGGAAUAAAGUUUAGUACGUGUACUAUUUUGCAUGUACCUUACGAAUAAGGAUCGGCUAACUCCGUGCCAGCAGCCGCGGUAAUACGGAGGAUCCGAGCGUUAUCCGGAUUUAUUGGGUUUAAAGGGUGCGCAGGCGGGAUGUUAAGUCGGCGGUGAAAUUUUGCGGCUCAACCGUAAAAGUGCCUUCGAAACUGGCAUUCUUGAGUGUAGAUGAAGUAGGCGGAAUUUGUGGUGUAGCGGUGAAAUGCAUAGAUAUCACGAGGAACUCCGAUUGCGCAGGCAGCUUACUAAGCUACAACUGACGCUCAUGCACGAAGGCGUGGGGAUCAAACAGG